UAAUACGUAGGGCGCAAGCGUUGUCCGGAAUUAUUGGGCGUAAAGAGCUCGUAGGCGGUUUGUCGCGUCUGUCGUGAAAGCUUGGGGCUUAACCCUAAGUCUGCGGUGGAUACGGGCAGACUAGAGGCAGGUAGGGGAGAACGGAAUUCCCGGUGUAGCGGUGAAAUGCGCAGAUAUCGGGAGGAACACCGGUGGCGAAGGCGGUUCUCUGGGCCUGUACUGACGCUGAGGAGCGAAAGCGUGGGGAGCGAACAGGAUUAGAUACCCUGGUAGUCCACGCCGUAAACGUUGGGCGCUAGGUGUGGGGUCCUUCCACGGAUUCCGCGCCGCAGCUAACGCAUUAAGCGCCCCGCCUGGGGAGUACGGCCGCAAGGCUA
rnacentral:rRNA from 1 species